rnacentral:rRNA from 1 species
AUACGGAGGGGGCAAGCGUUAUUCGGAAUUAUUGGGCGUAAAGGGCGCGCAGGCGGCCUGGCAAGUCAAAGGUGAAAUCCCUCGGCCCAACCGAGGAACUGCCUUUGAAACUGCCUGGCUUGAGGCCGGGAGAGGGUAGUGGAAUUCCCAGUGUAGCGGUGAAAUGCGUAGAUAUUGGGAGGAACACCAGUGGCGAAGGCGACUACCUGGACCGGUCCUGACGCUGAGGCGCGAAAGCGUGGGGAGCAAACAGGAUUAGAAACCCCAGUAGUCC